ACCCGGAGCUUGCUCUGGGGGAUUAGUGGCGAACGGGUGAGUAACACGUGAGUAACCUGCCCUUGACUCUGGGAUAACCUCCGGAAACGGAAGCUAAUACCGGAUAUGACGCACGGAGGCAUCUCCUGUGCGUGGAAAGAAUUUCGGUCAAGGAUGGACUCGCGGCCUAUCAGGUAGUUGGUGAGGUAACGGCUCACCAAGCCUACGACGGGUAGCCGGCCUGAGAGGGUGACCGGCCACACUGGGACUGAGACACGGCCCAGACUCCUACGGGAGGCAGCAGUGGGGAAUAUUGCACAAUGGGCGCAAGCCUGAUGCAGCAACGCCGCGUGAGGUAUGACGGCCUUCGGGUUGUAAACCUCUUUUAGUAGGGAAGAAGCGAAAGUGACGGUACCUGCAGAAAAAGCACCGGCUAACUACGUGCCAGCAGCCGCGGUAAUACGUAGGGUGCGAGCGUUGUCCGGAAUUAUUGGGCGUAAAGAGCUCGUAGGCGGUCUGUCGCGUCUGCUGUGAAAACCCGAGGCUCAACCUCGGGCCUGCAGUGGGUACGGGCAGACUAGAGUGCGGUAGGGGAGAAUGGAAUUCCUGGUGUAGCGGUGGAAUGCGCAGAUAUCAGGAGGAACACCGAUGGCGAAGGCAGUUCUCUGGGCCGUAACUGACGCUGAGGAGCGAAAGCGUGGGGAGCGAACAGGAUUAGAUACCCUGGUAGUCCACGCCGUAAACGUUGGGCGCUAGAUGUGGGGACCAUU
rnacentral:rRNA from 1 species